AUAAGUUUAGUGGAAAAUCCAGGGUAUCUCUCUCUCAUUUGCAUGCACACAUGUGCACAUUCCUGAGCAUGCAUAGACAGGCAUAUAAACUCUUUCAUUUUGUCAUUUCUGAAUUUUUCCUGUCUCAUUACAUGCUUGCUAUGAUAUGUGAAUGAUAGCCACCUUAGCGGUCCAAUGAAUGGCAUUUACUCCUUAAGUUCCAUACUAAACAUAUUCCUUAUGGAACUGUGCAUGCCUUAUAUGUAUUUUGUGCAGCACACAAUGAAUUUAUAGAAAUGUAAGUUGAGCCUGGUGCACAGGAAACAUAAAAAAAGUACCAGGGAGAAAAUACCAAAAAAGGGG
rnacentral:misc_RNA from 1 species